rnacentral:rRNA from 1 species
CUUACACAUGCAGUCACUUGAAUUUAGUUUUUUAACUUAGGUUUGGGUGGCGGACGGGUGAGUAACGCGUAAAGAACUUGCCUCACAGCUAGGGACAACAUUUGGAAACGAAUGCUAAUACCUAAUAUUAUGAUAAUAGGGCAUCCUAUAAUUAUGAAAGCUAUAAGCGCUGUGAGAGAGCUUUGCGUCCCAUUAGCUAGUUGGAGAGGUAACGGCUCACCAAGGCGAUGAUGGGUAGCCGGCCUGAGAGGGUGAUCGGCCACAAGGGGACUGAGACACGGCCCUUACUCCUACGGGAGGCAGCAGUGGGGAAUAUUGGACAAUGGACCAAGAGUCUGAUCCAGCAAUUCUGUGUGCACGAUGAAGUUUUUCGGAAUGUAAAGUGCUUUCAGUUGGGAAGAAAGAAAUGACGGUACCAACAGAAGAAGUGACGGCUAAAUACGUGCCAGCAGCCGCGGUAAUACGUAUGUCACGAGCGUUAUCCGGAUUUAUUGGGCGUAAAGCGCGUCUAGGUGGUUAUGUAAGUCUGAUGUGAAAAUGCAGGGCUCAACUCUGUAUUGCGUUGGAAACUGUAUAACUAGAGUACUGGAGAGGUAAGCGGAACUACAAGUGUAGAGGUGAAAUUCGUAGAUAUUUGUAGGAAUGCCGAUGGGGAAGCCAGCUUACUGGACAGAUACUGACGCUGAAGCGCGGAAGCGUGGGUAGCAAACAGGAUUAGAUACCCUGGUAGUCCACGCCGUAAACGAUGAUUACUAGGUGUUGGGGGUCGAACCUCAGCGCCCAAGCAAACGCGAUAAGUAAUCCGCCUGGGGAGUACGUACGCAAGUAUGAAACUCAAAGGAAUUGACGGGGACCCGCACAAGCGGUGGAGCAUGUGGUUUAAUUCGACGCACCGCGAGGAACCUUACCAGCGUUUGACAUCUUAGGAGUGAGAUA